rnacentral:rRNA from 1 species
CAGCAGCCACGGUAAUACGUAGGUGGCAAGCGUUGUCCGGAAUUAUUGGGCGUAAAAGGCUCGCAGGCGGUUUCUUAAGUCUGAUGUGAAAGCCCCCGGCUCAACCGGGGAGGGUCAUUGGAAACUGGGAAACUUGAGUGCAGAAGAGGAGAGUGGAAUUCCACGUGUAGCGGUGAAAUGCGUAGAGAUGUGGAGGAACACCAGUGGCGAAGGCGACUCUCUGGUCUGUAACUGACGCUGAGGAGCGAAAGCGUGGGGAGCGAACAGGAUUAGAUACCCCAGUAGUCCCUGUCUCUUAUAC